rfam:Cephalotus follicularis DNA, scaffold: scaffold214, isolate: St1.
AAACCAUGAUGAGGACAUUCUAAGAGAAGGUCUUUAAAACGUUCCAUACAUCGAGACAAUGUAUCAUUAGGUCGCUGGCGAAACUGGAGAAUGUUGUUCCUAAGCUU